GGGUCCGUAGGCGGACUCGUAAGUCAGUGGUGAAAUCUCAUAGCUUAACUAUGAAACUGCCAUUGAUACUGCGGGUCUUGAGUAAGGUAGAGGUAGCUGGAAUAAGUAGUGUAGCGGUGAAAUGCAUAGAUAUUACUUAGAACACCAAUUGCGAAGGCAGGUUACCAUGUCUUAACUGACGCUGAUGGACGAAAGCGUGGGGAGCGAACAGGAUUAGAUACCCUGGUAGUCCACGCCGUAAACGAUGCUAACUCGUUUUUGGGUUUUCGGAUUCAGAGACUAAGCGAAAGUGAUAAGUUAGCCACCUGGGGAGUACGUUCGCAAGAAUGAAACUCAAAGGAAUUGACGGGGGCCCGCACAAGCGGUGGAUUAUGUGGUUUAAUUCGAUGAUACGCGAGGAACCUUACCAAGGCUUAAAUGGGAAUUGACAGGUUUAGAAAUAGACUUUUCUUCGGACAAUUUUCAAGGUGCUGCAUGGUUGUCGUCAGCUCGUGCCGUGAGGUGUUAGGUUAAGUCCUGCAACGAGCGCAACCCCUGUCACUAGUUGCUAGCAUUAAGUUGAGGACUCUAGUGAGACUGCCUACGCAAGUAGAGAGGAAGGUGGGGAUGACGUCAAAUCAUCACGGCCCUUACGCCUUGGGCCACACACGUAAUACAAUGGCCAGUACAGAGGGCUGCUACCAGGCGACUGGAUGCUAAUCUCGAAAGCUGGUCUCAGUUCGGAUUGGAGUCUGCAACUCGACUCUAUGAAGCUGGAAUCGCUAGUAAUCGCGCAUCAGCCAUGGCGCGGUGAAUACGUUCCCGGGCCUUGUACACACCGCCCGUCAAGCCAUGGAAGUCUGGGGUACCUGAAGUCGGUGACCGUAAUAGGAGCUGCCUAGGGUAAAACAGGUAACUAGGGCGAAG
rnacentral:rRNA from 1 species